rnacentral:rRNA from 1 species
UACGUAGGGUGCGAGCGUUGUCCGGAAUUACUGGGCGUAAAGGGCGCGUAGGCGGCGCGGUAAGUCACUUGUGAAAUCUCUGAGCUUAACUCAGAACGGCCAAGUGAUACUGCAGUGCUAGAGUGCAGAAGGGGCAAUCGGAAUUCUUGGUGUAGCGGUGAAAUGCGUAGAUAUCAAGAGGAACACCUGAGGUGAAGACGGGUUGCUGGGCUGACACUGACGCUGAGUGCGCGAAAGCCAGGGGAGCAAACGGG